GUAGGUGGCAAGCGUUGUCCGGAAUUAUUGGGCGUAAAGCGCGCGCAGGCGGUUCUUUGAGUCUGAUGUGAAAGCCCACGGCUCAACCGUGGAGGGUCAUUGGAAACUGGAGAACUUGAGUACAGAAGAGGAAAGCGGAAUUCCACGUGUAGCGGUGAAAUGCGUAGAGAUGUGGAGGAACACCAGUGGCGAAGGCGGCUUUCUGGUCUGUAACUGACGCUGAGGCGCGAAAGCGUGGGGGAGCAAACAGGAUUAGAUACCCUGGUAGUCCACGCCGUAAACGAUGAGUGCUAAGUGUUAGGGGGUUUCCGCCCCUUAGUGCUGCAGCUAACGCAUUAAGCACUCCGCCUGGGAGUACGGCCGCAAGGCUG
rnacentral:rRNA from 1 species